UAAAGGACCUCACUAGUCUAGUCCGUUUGGUUUGGUUUCAAUCGUGCCCACUUAGGGUCACUUGCACCUAAAUGUUUGUGUUUUGGGCUCAUAAGGUUGGCGCAACAGGAAUGACCUUUUAGGCCCAGGGUAUUUGGUUGUAAAGCCCUUGAGUUAGGCUUGGUCACGGCUCUUUUCGAGCCAAAUGGGUUUUAGGUGCAAGCCCAUGUGGCUGAGCUUGAAAUGGGUCUUUAUCGGGUUGUAGGGUGUUUGAUUAACCCAUAUGGGUGGGGUUAAGCAAUUUCUUCAUCAGGCACAUGGAUUUUAGGGUUUGGGAUUUGUCAAGUUGGGUAUUUGUUUAAGGCCUUUGGGUUGAGGGUUAGGUGGUUAACUCCAAACAGUUAGGCUUAACUGGAAGCCCUUCUCAGGUUGGGAGUUGGGU
rnacentral:lncRNA from 1 species